GCCAUUUUGGCCUGUGCCGACUGGCCGUAGGGAUGGCGUGGUAUCCAUUGCCAACGAGACCCGACAGCUGCCACCACCGACUGCCAACAUCACUACCCUGAUCUCCAUGUUUGCAGCCCAAGGAUUGAGCGUGAAGGACCUCGUCGUCUUAUCAGGUACAUCAUGAUCUCCAGUCAAUUUCAGGGACCAGAAAGAACUCGUAUCUGGAUUUCAAGGGUAUAUACAUGGUUGUUGGUUUGCUGCAUGGAUCUGAACAUUCAUGUCCGAUAACUAGGCGGGCACACGAUCGGGAUCUCGCACUGCGCAGCCUUCAACGCCCGCCUGUACAACUUCACCGGCAAGGCCACCCCCACCGACGUCGAUCCCAGUCUCGACAAGUACUACCUGGCAAAACUGAGGAC
rnacentral:lncRNA from 1 species